rnacentral:rRNA from 1 species
UACGAAGGGGGCUAGCGUUGCUCGGAAUCACUGGGCGUAAAGGGCGCGUAGGCGGAUUGUACAGUCAGGCGUGAAAUUCCCGGGCUCAACCUGGGGGCUGCGCUUGAGACGUGCGAUCUUGAGUGGGGAAGAGGGUCGUGGAAUUCCCAGUGUAGAGGUGAAAUUCGUAGAUAUUGGGAAGAACACCGGUGGCGAAGGCGGCGACCUGGUCCUUGACUGACGCUGAGGCGCGAAAGCGUGGGGAGCAAACAGG